rnacentral:rRNA from 1 species
UGGGGAAUAUUGCACAAUGGGCGCAAGCCUGAUGCAGCCAUGCCGCGUGUAUGAAGAAGGCCUCCGGGUUGUAAAGUACUUUCAGCGAGGAGGAAGGCGGUAAGGUUAAUAACCUUAUCGAUUGACGUUACUCGCAGAAGAAGCACCGGCUAACUCCGUGCCAGCAGCCGCGGUAAUACGGAGGGUGCAAGCGUUAAUCGGAAUUACUGGGCGUAAAGCGCACGCAGGCGGUCUGUCAAGUCGGAUGUGAAAUCCCCGGGCUCAACCUGGGAACUGCAUUCGAAACUGGCAGGCUAGAGUCUUGUAGAGGGGGGUAGAAUUCCAGGUGUAGCGGUGAAAUGCGUAGAGAUCUGGAGGAAUACCGGUGGCGAAGGCGGCCCCCUGGACAAAGACUGACGCUCAGGUGCGAAAGCGUGGGGAGCAAACA